GUGCUGGGGCGGAGCUCCGCCUCCUCGCGGUCAGGUGAUUCCAGGGCAGCCAUCUUGAGUAGACGUUAACCCAACUGCUUUUCUUGGCGUCCUCCCUCAGUUCCAUCGCCCCUUCCCCCAUCACCCUCAGGACGGCUUGCCUUUCCUCAAGUAUAGGCUGAUUGCCACUUCCAACAAAUGCUGCUUCAGUUACUUCAUCUGUAAAAAGCAGCUCCUUCAGUCUUCUCUUCAAUCACCAGAACAUUUAUCAAGCAUCAACUAAGUGCUGAGCAUUCUGCAGGGGCAGGGGAAACAAGGCCCAGACUGUCUGAAAGCCAUGUCCAGGUCAAGCUGGGGAGGAAGACAACCCAAUGGACAUUAACAAUUCAGCAUGGGUCCAGCAGAAGGUGUGACCCAGUGUGGCUGUCAGGAAGUGUCUAGUGAGAGCAGGUUAGAAGGUUAGAAGAUUAGAAGAUUAGAAGGUUCUGGGAUCAGAAUUUGUUGAGGGAGUGCAUGAAUAAACUUCAGAGACGUUGAAUGCAUGAAUAGAUGAGAGUAUGAACGAAGUCAGCAGCAGCAGGUGUCGCCCACCUGCCGGACCCUCCUUCUCCUAAGGUACUCCAGGACCUUGUGGAACAUGUGGGGACAUUGUUGAAUAGCCACACACCUUCUCCAUGCUAGGCCCUGUGCUGAUAGUGGAGGCACAGAGGCCAGAGUCAGAAGUCUGACGUUUGCUGAAGAAGUGAAGGACUUUGAACCCUCCUUCCAGAAAUGCAGCUCUGGGUCAGUACUCAUGCUAGGUACUGGGGGACCCUGGGCACUCAGAAGAGACUGAGACCUACACUUUGUCCUUGAAGGAACCCCAGUCAUUUGGGAAGUUAGGAUAAGUCCACGUAUUUACAAAUAAAAAGGCACCCAGUCACGUUUCCAGGAGAUGAACUGGAAGCUGUCAGGUGGGUUUGGACAGGGAAGAGACUCAGGGAGGUACUGACUUCAGGGACCUCCAAGUGGUUCUGUUAGGUCAGAGUGUAAAAUACAAGUGGGAGAUGAAGCUGGAUGGGCCUCUGUGUGGCAGGCUGGUGAGUCUAGACUUCACCCUGCAGGUGAUGUCCCUCCCCUGCGCCUUGUUCUAGGAACUCUUGGCCUGGGGAUGAGUUCCUAGGGCAUUUCUUUCUUUUCCUUGGGAGCAAAGUAGGUUCAGGUUGGAGCUAACAGGGAAAGGCAGCCCAAUUUAUAAAACACAUUUAUUUGAUACAAAAACUCUGCCCCUGAUGGCUGCCUGGCAAAUUUCUGCUUGUCUUUCAAGGUGUGGCUCUGAUGUCUCCUCUAAAGCCUUCAACCUACCUGAGCUAAGCUGGUCAUGUCCCACUGUGUUCUUACUGCUCUCCCCACGUGUCUCUGAUUUUUGCAUCUUUCUCCCCUACUAGACUGAGAGGUCCUUGAGGGCAGGCAGUCUCCUUCAUCUUUAUUUCUUGGUCCCGAGGGCCCAGUAUAGAUAAGAAUAAAUUUGCUGAAUCAAUAAAUGUGUCUAUUUUGCAGAUGAGGAAACUGAGGCUCAUAGAAUGUGAGUGAUUGCAGAAGGCCGCCUAGUAAGGGGCAGAACCAGGAACAAGCUCAGGUUUGGGGAGUCCAUCUGGUAGGGAUGGAAGGCAUGACUUCAAAUGGCUAUGUUCAGAGCUUGCCAACUUUCAAAGGAAUCAUGUCUCAAUUCUGAUCACUGCUGCCCUGGCAAUAGCACAGCUGAGAGAGGAGGAAGGAAACAUAUUGAGCACCUGCUGUAUGAAGACCUAGCAUGGGGCACUCUUACAUAUAGGAUUCUAUUUAAUUUGAAAGAAGGUGUCAUUAUGGCCACAGCACAGGGGAGGAAGCUGAAGUUCACAGGAGUGAAGUGACUUGUCUACUAUCCCCCAGACAAGGAGAAGCAGAACCUGGCGGGUCAGGGGCUCAUAUAAGCAGGAGCAGGGGCUGGGUGGGGAAUCUCAAAAGGGGAUGACCUGAUAUGUCUUUUGGAUUGGAGUGGGGGGACCAGUUCCAGGAUUGUGCCCUCUGGCCCUGGGAGCACCUCCACCCCAGAGACAAAGGACGUUGCCUUCUGGGUGUCUGCCCACUGCUGUCUGUCUUUCUUGCUGCUCUCCUGGUCUGGUGAUGAGCAUGUGAGGGACAGCACGCUGCUGCUGCAGGCUGCGAUUCUGGCCCGGCUCCAGCCCAAGCCUGUGCAGGUCUGCCACUUCCCCCCACCUGUGCCAGCCUGAGGCCGAAGCAGGGGAGGCUCAGUGCCUGGCCUUGGUGGCCUCAGGCCAGUGGAGCAGCAAGGAUGUGUUGGUGGGGCGGGGGUCAGGAGGAGAACUCUAACCUACAAGGGAGUCAUAUUAGCCAGAGCCAGCACCCCAAGGGAGGGGACUGACACACCCCACCCCAAAGCCACAGCGGUUUCCUUUUUAUCUCUGCUGCUCUGAAGGGAAGGCAUGUGGCCUGGGAUGUGGAAGAGGAGAGGACUCCAAAGGCCCUGCUGGGUGGGGCUGGCGUCACGUCUCACAGGUGGUAACUCUGAUAACAAAAACCCUCGACCCCACCAUGUGCCAGGUUCUGUGCUGGAAGCUCUAUUAGGACUAAUUUCUUUCUCACAGCAGCCCUGGGAGGUAGCCUCACUCCAUUACAACCCCACUACACAGCUGAGGAACAUGAACCUCAGGGAAGUUCAGUGACUUGUUCAGGUCACACAGCCUGGGCACGGAGAAGCUGGGAUUUGAGCUCAGUCUGGCUCCAGAGCUAACAAUGUCCUUCUCACAUCAUUUGGGAGCCCAGACUCCUGGGUUCUAGGUCAACUGCUUCCUUGGCCAAGUCCCAACCUCGCUGGACCUGAUUUUCUUCCUAUAAGGUGAGAGGAUUAGAUAAGGUAAAUCUGAGGGCUCUUACAUUGUGUGUCUAUGAUGGUCCUGCGGCCCUUGAGGAGGUCACCACGGCAACUGUAAAGGGAGGGUCACUGUGUCAAGCCCUUCAAACACAAAGAUGAAGUGCAGUUCUGUGAGGUGCUCACAGAAGUCUAGUGGGAAGACACUCAAGUAGUUCAGUACUGCCAAGUAUUUAAUGUAUUAUGGGGCUCCGGCCUUGAACUGGGUCAUGAAGAGGUAGGAUUUAGACAAGUAGGUGGAGAAAGAAUUCCAAAUUCCAGGUAGAGGGGACAGCAGGAACACAGGCUGGGAGCUGAGAAUCUGGAACCGAGCUUCACACUUUUCAUUACCUCUAUGAUGACCUUUGAGAUCAGGCCACUCCACUAGAGCACACUUCCCAGGUGACCUGGGCCCUCUUCACUCAUUAGCAUCAUGGCUCAGAGCCAGACAAGCUGAGUUGAAGUCCCAGCUUCAGCACUUACUGUGUGUCCCCUGGGUUUCAGUUUCUCAUCUGUAAAAUGGAGAUGAUGAAGGUACUAACAGGUUGCUGUGAGGAUUAAUUGAGAUGUUGCAUACAGAGGGUGUAGCAUGAACUGUGACACAUGGACAUGCUGAAAACAUCUUUGCAGGAGGUCCUUCCCUCUUCUUCACCCACCCUACUAGUCCCCUUGCCUAAAUCUUUCAUCUCCUCAGGGUUUAGUUCAGUCUCUUCUCUGGGAAGCCUCCCUUCUCUGGCUGCUGCAACACUCACUGCCUUCUCUUAACUCCUACAGCCCUUGUCUAUGCCACAAAAUUCAUUACCUCCCCAGGAUCUAGACUGCUUCCCCCUUCUCCAAGGUCUCAAUUCCAUUGGGAAUUCACAUGUUUUCAGGGAAGCUGAUUCUAUUCCCUCCUGCCCCCAUUCUAAGGGUAAGACACAAGAUUUAAGCUAAGCCAGUAAAUAACCCCUGCCCCUGAUGGCCAAUUAACAGGUGGCCAGAUGACCUUAAUCAGUCCCACAGUGAAUCUUGCUGGGAAUUCUGGAAUACAGAUUCUCACCAUUUUCUCUUUGGCUCCAGAUGGUAUAGAGUGCAGAUGUGAGGUCUGGAACUGCUGCAGCCAUUUUGCUGCCAUGAGAGAAGCCAGCCUGAGGAGAUGAUAGAGUACAGAGCUAGGGACUAGCAGAGAAAUUGAGUCCUGAUCAAAUCAUCCCUGACUGUCAGGCUCCACUAGACUUUUCAAUUGCAUGAGCCAACAUAUUUCCUUUAAGCCAGUUUUCUGUUAUUUGCAAUGAAAAUCAUUCAAACACCAUCUAGUUCAAUUAUUUUGUUUACCACAAGAUGUAUUUAUUCACUUACACCUUGAUUAGGCCCCUACUACAUGCUAUAGUAGGUGUUAGGGAUUUAAUAAUGAACAAUAUUGAUGUGGACCUAUCCUCAAGUUUAUAGUCUGGUGGAAAGAAAGAAUCAGGAAUUAAAAUGAUUGCUUUGGAAGCUGAUUCUGAUGUUGUAUUUAACCUGCUCAGCAUCCAUCCCCCUCCUUUCGACAGCAGAAUUCUGACUUUUCUUUGGACACUGUAUAAAGGGCUGACCAACUGAGCUAGGCCUGGCUGACUGGCAUAUUCCAUGCCCCUGGCCACAGCGACUAAUUCAGUGAUGGGCAUCAGAGUCAGCUCUGGGACUGCAGACUUUAAACACUGGUCCAGUACUUCUGCCAGGGGUCACUAAACUGGAGAAAUGUAAGCCUGGGAUUUCCUUGGGUUGAGAGAGUGCUAAGACUAGUUGUGAGAGUUGGCAGCAGUAAACUUCUCUGGCUUCACCCAUUAGUUUGAACAGGUAUCAGUGCUCCACCUGGGCUGUGAGACGAGGAGAGGGGGAUAAAACAGACAUGACCCCUCCUUUUGAGGGCAGUCUAAAGAGAAGGACAAAUGAAUAAAUAAUCACAACACAGCAUAGCCAUACUAGGAGUAAUCUGAGAGGGCACCAGCUCAGCCCGAAGGCAUUAGUUUUUUUGUUUUUGUUAAUUAUGUGAUACAUUAAACAAAAAUUAGAAGACCCAAGAAAAACUUUAAACCCUUAGUGCCAACACUCGGCUAUGAUCACAGUUAAAAAUAUUUUCAUCUGUAACCUUCCAGUAGCUUUCCUAUGUGUAUAAACUUAAAAAAACAAACAAACAAAAAAAACCCCUAAAUGCAAUGUGGUAUAUUGGGUUGAAUCCUGGAAGAGAAAAAAAAAAGACAUUAGUGAAAGAACUGGUGAAAACUAAAUAGUUGAAGUCUAAUAAUGUUCUAGUGUUAAUCUCUUAGCUUUGACAAAUGUACCAGCGUUAUGUAAGAUGUUAACAUUAGGGGAAGCUAGCUGAAGUGUAUGCAGAAACUCUGUACUAUCUUUGGAACUCUUCUGUAAACUUAAAAGUUAUUCCAAAAUAAAACGUUUACUUUAAAAAA